rnacentral:rRNA from 1 species
AGCGGAGGAAAAGAAACUAACAAGGAUUCCCCUAGUAACGGCGAGUGANGCGGGAACAGCUCAAAUUUUAANUCUGGCUGCUUCGCAGUCCGAGUUGUAAUUUGAAGGCGUCUGUCGCAUGUGAGACGAUGGCACAAGUCCUCUGGAACGUGGCAUCGUAGAGGGUGAGAAUCCCGUCUCUGGUCGUUGUCUUGCAGGCACACGGCAGGCGAUCCGAAGAGUCGAGUUGUUUGGGAUUGCAGCUCCAAAUGGGUGGUAAACUCCAUCUAAGGCUAAAUAUUGGCGAGAGACCGAUAGCGAACAAGUACCGUGAGGGAAAGAUGAAAAGAACUUUGAAAAGAGAGUAAAACAGUACGUGAAAUUGUUGAAAGGGAAACGCUUGAAGUCAGUCGUGCCGGCGGGGAUUCAGCGAACUUCGCGGAGUGAGCGUAUUUCCUCGCAUGGCAGGUCAGCGUCAGUUUUGCGCGUCGUGAAAGGGCUCGGGUAAGGUGACUCUCUUCGGGGAGUGUUAUAGGCCUGAGCAGAUGCGAUGCGCGGGACUGAGGAUUGCAGCGGACACCCUUCGGGGCGCGGCGACCGAUCCCUGCUCUGUCACCUUCGUCCGAUAGCGUGCUAACGGUCGGGGGAGCGGCGGUUGCACCGGGUUGGCAAGCCGGCGGCUNCGCUAAGGAUGCUGGCGUAAUGGCUUUAAACGACCCGUCUUG